UACGUAGGUGGCAAGCGUUGUCCGGAAUUAUUGGGCGUAAAGAGCUUGUAGGCGGUUUGUCGCGUCUGCUGUGAAAUCUCAAGGCUCAACCUUGAGCUUGCAGUGGGUACGGGCAGACUAGAGUGUGGUAGGGGAGACUGGAAUUCCUGGUGUAGCGGUGAAAUGCGCAGAUAUCAGGAGGAACACCGAUGGCGAAGGCAGGUCUCUGGGCCACUACUGACGCUGAGAAGCGAAAGCAUGGGGAGCGAACAGG
rnacentral:rRNA from 1 species